rnacentral:misc_RNA from 1 species
UGUGGAGUACACAAAACGCCCGGUACAUAUCGAUCAGUCCGACGACUGUCCGUCAUAGUUUCGUAUUCGUGAAAAAGUAAUGACGCCUGUGUUGACUCGACACUUUUAAGUUAUGUAUAUUCAAAGCAUAGCAGAACCGUGCGCCAGUCCGUCGGCAACUAGACGUGUGGGUGCGUCGCGACGUCGACGUCGUCCUUCGACUCAUACGGAAUUAUAUCGAAGUCCGAUUCCGGAAGGGAGUACCGCAAGGAUUCAAAAUGGACGAUCCAUCGCGCGAUAAUCCGCCUCGCCGGCUGCCAAUGCUAGAAAAUCGGCAGCUUCUCUAUAAUCUGGAUAAAAUCGCCAAUAAUAAGGAGGCCGUCGUUAUUGUUCGAAAACCACCCGAUCAUGGAUUCUAAUUCGGAGCAAUUCGAGUUUCGCCAUCAUUUGCGCAGCGACUAGACAGAUUUUUUUUUUCAUUCAACCCAACUCGUCGAUUCAAUUAUUUUCCCAAAAGUUUGGGGUAAUCAAAUAAGAAAUUUUCGAUAAUUGUUUCUCGAUUUUUUGUGAACUUCAUAAUUCCAUAGACAAAGCAGCGAGGUUAUCGCGGGCGAAAGAUCUACGUGCGAUUGAAAAAGUCAGCGAACGAAAAGCGGUGAAAAAAAGAAAAAAAAAAACAAUUUUCUCACUCGCUUGACAACCGUCAUAACGUGUCUACGACUAACUGUGCAGCUGGUGCACUGCAAGUGGCAAUUGGAAUUUCUGUGGACUAUUUUUUGUUUGACUAACGCCGUAAUAAAAGCGAUGUGUAAAUAGAAGUUAGUUCGAAUCGAUAUUACAUGUGCUAUCUACAUUUCUAUGGAACCUGCACGGUGAAAGUAACAAGUAGAAAUUGAUGAUUGUUAUAUCUACGUUUCAUUGAAUUUUCAGAGAAGUAUUUACGCCCGUAGUAACCGAGGGAUAGAGGCAAAGGAAAUUGAGAACAACGCUUCGUUAACGACUGUGAGAUUUACGGUGAGAUAACAUUCGUUGCAACAAUAGAAGCGAACAAUAUCCAUCAGUUUGUUACUUAGAGAUAAUAUACGUGUAUCUAUCCAAAUAGCUGUUAACACUUGUCGGGGAAUUGUCUAUGGGAGUAAACGUGUAAAUUCGAUGUUCUCACCCUCGAAACGUACGUGGAAUCAUAUUUGGCGACGAUAUGAUCGCGCGAAAAAAUGUCAUCCAAGAAAUUCCAGCGGGACGAAAAAAAAAUGUCUAUUCAAACGUCAUCAGAGGUGCCGAAACAUCACGGGAACAUAAU